AGUGUCAAAAGGGCGUUUAGUGGAUGCCUUGGCAUGUAGAGGCGAUGAAGGACGUGGCACGCUGCGAUAAGUCUCGGGGAGUUGCGAGCAGACUUUGAUCCGAGAAUUUCCGAAUGGGGAAACCCACCGUUUCGGCGGUAUCGCACACUGAAUACAUAGGUGUGCGAGGCAAACCCGGGGAACUGAAACAUCUAAGUACCCGGAGGAAAGGAAAUCAACAGAUACUCCCCUAGUAGCGGCGAGCGAACGGGGACCAGCCGAGCCGUGAGUGUGACCAGAACAACCUGGAAAGGUUGACCAUAGUGGGUGACAGUCCCGUAUGGGAAGCAUGAUCGGACGUAUUAAGUAGGGCGGGACACGUGAAAUCCUGUCUGAACAUCGGAGGACCACCUUCGAAGGCUAAGUACUCCU
rnacentral:rRNA from 1 species